UACAGAAGCCCCGAGCAUUAUCCGGAUUUACUGGGCGUAAAGGGUGUGUAGGUGGUGUGAUUAGUCUUGCGUCAAAUCUUCGGGCUUAACCCGGAGUUCGCGUGAGAAACGGUCACACUAGAGGAGGUGAGAGGUGUGCGGAACUCAAGGUGUAGGGGUGAAAUCCGUUGAUAUCUUGGGGAACACCAAAAGCGAAGGCAGCACACUGGCACUUUCCUGACACUGAAACACGAAAGCGUGGGUAGCGAAUCGG
rnacentral:rRNA from 1 species